AAACCAAAGGAAACAAACUGCACUUCGUAAACCGGUGCAAUGCGUAAUGUAUGCGACAGGAAGAAUAGAGUGUUAGGAAAAUUCUUUUUUGUAGAGUAAUUCGAUGACCACCGUGUCCACGUAGAACAUGCAACGGAAAUGCACUUCAAUGAGAAGGCGAUGACUCCCAGCUUUCAAAGACCUUGCAAGAGAUAUGCACUUCACAGCAAAGAAUCAGGGGAAGAGGCGGAUGCAGCAGAUAUCCCACUCCGGCUUUUUUUGCGCUCCGCUUAGCUUAUUGUAUUCAGUGGAAUAUACUAUAUACUUGAAAAAUCUCUUCCUUCUUCACCCUCAGUUAAAAUGUACGAUGAAAGAUAAGAAGUCGAUGAAAACAAAGAUGACCGUGCAGCAAAUAGUCCAUCAGCGAAGGAUAAUAAAAUGGAGAAGCGGGAAAGGAGUCAAUUGCACCAUGUCAUUGUAUUAAAGUCCAUGAUGAUGUUGAUACCUGAUCUUGUCACCUAACACACACUCAGUUGCCUAAGAUCCUGCAACAUACAUCAUUUUUUCCAUACUGUACCUAUAAACCUCUUAUAACAAACAGUAACUGUAACUAUAAAAUAAAUAUUAAACUUUAAUUUUAUUUAAUCUUCAACAAUAUUAUUUUAACCAUUACAUCGAAU
rnacentral:misc_RNA from 1 species